rnacentral:rRNA from 1 species
AUUGAACGCUGGCGGCAUGCCUUACACAUGCAAGUCGAACGGCAGCGCGGGAGCAAUCCUGGCGGCGAGUGGCGAACGGGUGAGUAAUAUAUCGGAACGUGCCCAGUAGUGGGGGAUAGCCCGGCGAAAGCCGGAUUAAUACCGCAUGAGACCUGAGGGUGAAAGCGGGGGGAUCGCAAGACCUCGCGCUAUUGGAGCGGCCGAUAUCAGAUUAGCUAGUUGGCGGGGUAAAGGCCCACCAAGGCAACGAUCCGUAGCGGGUCUGAGAGGAUGAUCCGCCACACUGGGACUGAGACACGGCCCAGACUCCUACGGGAGGCAGCAGUGGGGAAUUUUGGACAAUGGGCGCAAGCCUGAUCCAGCCAUGCCGCGUGAGUGAAGAAGGC